GGAAAUGCCUUUACCUUCGUUUCUGUCCAGUCUACCCUGAGGCCCUCUCUCUAGUCCUUAUUCAUCCAUUUUGGAAAGAAUGCCAGCUAGCUAAACCAGCAGUUCUGGAACAUUCUCAUCUCAGUUCCCCCAGUGCUUCCAUUUCCUCUAGUCAUUCCCCCUUUACCCAAAUCCCUUCCAGGCCUCCACAUUAAUAUCCCCCUUCACCCUCCCUUCAGACCCACUCCCAGGAGAGAGAAGAAAAGAACAUUCCCAUCCCUUUGAGAAGGAGAGCACAGUGGAAAUGGCUUUGGAUUUUUUUGCACCCACUUCACAGGCUCUGUGAAGCCCCAGUCCUUGGAAGGGCAGGAACCAGCUUCAACCUCAUGGAGGUGGACAUGCUGAGAGAUGAUGAAGCAACAUGGGAGAAGGAAGCAGGGUGACCUCAUAGAGCAUCUGUGCUUCCCACCUGGGGUCACAUGCCCAUCUCAAGAUAGAGCCACUUGUCUGAACCACUGAAGUCCCAAUGUUUUCAUUAUGAUGGUUGAGCUGAACUCUCCAAGCCUAGGGACAGAAGGGCCGGAAAUGCUCCAGACAGGAAGAUCUCUGUGGCUGGAAGGAGGCCACAGGACCAGGGGGGCUUCAAGUAUACCCAGUGAUCCUCAAAGGAAUUCCCUAGUCAUUGUGUUAAGAGAGCUGCAGGGAAAGGUGGCAGAGGUCCAGCUCCCAGUCUGCAUCUGGAUCCUAUACUGAUUAGAAUCUGCUUCAUCACUUGGAAAAUCACUCUCCAUGGAGUGCUGAAGUGUCAGUACCAACAGGUUUGCGAGAUUAUGAGGGGAGAGUAGAGGAUGAAUUUAAUGGCAUCGAAACUGCCUUCUCAAGAUAGGGGAGUAAGGUCUGUAGAAGUAAUAAAGUACUGGAAAAUGACAGGGUGGAAAAAGGAGCCAUAUUUGAGCACGCAUGAACUUAUUGUCUCCAUGUGGCCUGUUUCACAACUUUCCCUACAGAAAUGAGGGGCAGAAAUUAAGUUGAUCUGAAUUGCUAACGAAAUAUAAUUCUAGACUCAGAAGAUUCUCCUAAAAAGUUUGGCCCUGAGGCUACAAGAUCUUAUUCCCCUAUAGAGUAUCACCAUGCUUUUUUUUAAAAUAACAUCUCUCUGAUGAUUAUUUAAAAAUGUUUAUCUCUAAUACAUCAAGUUCCCAAAGUAUAUAAACUGAAAGAGCUAACUCCCUAAAGAAAACAUUAAUUUCCUCAGACCAAUAGGAUAUUAACUUAGUAAAUUGUGAUAGUAAUACUUAAGGGUCAGAAUGGCAUUUUGAGUUUACUAUUUUUUCUAACAUUUUAUUUUGAAAAUUCUCAAACAUAGAGCAAAGUUGAAAAAAUUUUAGAGUGGGUACCGUAUAAAGGUACCUAUUAGGUAGAUUCUACCAUUAACAUUUUAUUAUAUUUGUUUUUAUCACUUAUCUAUCUAUCCAUCCAUCCAUCAACCCAUGGUAUAUUUUAGUUGAUGCCCCAUUUCAAAGUCAGUUGCAAACAUCAUUGCACUUUUUCCUAAAUACUGUGGCAUGCAUAUAGUUAACAAUAAGCUUAAUAUCUGUUCAUAUAUAUAUAUUUUUAAAGAUUUUAUUUAUUUAUUCAUGAGAGAUACAGAGAGAGAG